UGGGGAAUUUUCCGCAAUGGGCGCAAGCCUGACGGAGCAAGACCGCGUGGGGGAGGAAGGCUCUUGGGUUGUAAACCCCUUUUCUCAGGGAAGAAGUUCUGACGGUACCUGAGGAAUCAGCCUCGGCUAACUCCGUG
rnacentral:rRNA from 1 species